CCUACGGGAGGCAGCAGUGAGGAAUAUUGGUCAAUGGACGAGAGUCUGAACCAGCCAAGUAGCGUGAAGGAUGACUGCCCUAUGGGUUGUAAACUUCUUUUAUAUGGGAAUAAAAUGUUCCACGUGUGGGAUUUUGUAUGUACCAUAUGAAUAAGGAUCGGCUAGCUCCGUGCCAGCAGCCGCGGUAAUACGGAGGAUCCGAGCGUUAUCCGGAUUUAUUGGGUUUAAAGGGAGCGUAGGUGGAUUGUUAAGUCAGUUGUGAAAGUUUGCGGCUCAACCGUAAAAUUGCAGUUGAAACUGGCAGUCUUGAGUACAGUAGAGGUGGGCGGAAUUCGUGGUGUAGCGGUGAAAUGCUUAGAUAUCACGAAGAACUCCGAUUGCGAAGGCAGUUCACUGGACUGUAACUGACACUGAGGCUCGAAAGUGUGGGUAUCAAACAGGAUUAGAUACCCCAGUAGUC
rnacentral:rRNA from 1 species